UCUUAUUAAUUCAUCGAAAAUCUCGAACAUGUCGAUCGAGAGAACGGUGAUCGCCGUCAUUAGAGCGGCAAGACCUUCUUUUAGGAACGACCACGACAAGGUCGCGUUCGCCGUUCACGCGACGUUUCUUUUGGCCGGUUUCGUCCUCACCGCCACUGGGCCUGCUGCUUUGGGCGACAACGUUUUCUCUUAUAC